CAGUAGCCGCGGUAAUACGUAGGUGGCAAGCGUUGUCCGGAAUUAUUGGGCGUAAAGGGCUCGUAGGCGGUUUCUUAAGUCUGAUGUGAAAGCCCCCGGCUCAACCGGGGAGGGUCAUUGGAAACUGGGAAACUUGAGUGCAGAAGAGGAGAGUGGAAUUCCACGUGUAGCGGUGAAAUGCGUAGAGAUGUGGAGGAACACCAGUGGCGAAGGCGACUCUCUGGUCUGUAACUGACGCUGAGGAGCGAAAGCGUGGGGAGCGAACAGGAUUAGAUACCCCUGUAGUCCCUGUCUCUUAUAC
rnacentral:rRNA from 1 species